GCUUGCUGGUCCAACAAUAUGUGUUCACCCUUUGGACUAAUCGAUGCCGACUAAAUUUUUUAUGCCUGUUACAUCUGUCCUGUGAUUACUCACCAGCCACUAUUGUAUUCCUAUUUCUUUUUUUUUUUCCUUCUUUCUUUAAUUCUUAAGUUCACCUGUUGAGAAUGUUUACCAGUCAGUUGUUGCUGAAAUCGACCAUGCUAUUGGGGCCGAAGGAGUUGUGAGCACUGAGUGCAAGGAAUUUAUGUCUCGAUAUGGAGAUUUAAUAUGAGAUAUCUUGAUUGCCGUUGUAUGUCACUGACCAUUACAAGUUCACCACUUGCAUUCAUUCAUUCAGAAUACUUAAUAGAAUGUAUCAUCAUGGUUCACAGGUGAAACCCAACAAAGUUUGUUCCCAGAUUGAUUUAUGUGUUUUCAAUGGGAGCCAGUAUGCGAGCAUGGGAGUCAAAACAGUGGUUGAGAAGGAAAACGAAAACUCAGGUGAGGAUGUUGUUUGCACUGCCUGUGAGCUGACUCUCCUAUGGGUCCAGAAUCAGCUAAAACAGAAGAUAACAAUAGAUGUGAUGCGAGCAUAUUGAUACUAGAUUUUCAAUCUUCUGACUCCUAGCCUUCUUACAGCUCUGUGAAAGCAUACUGUAUUUGAUGGGUGAAUCAGUAGAUGACUACAAUAACGACGCAAACAUGCCAAACUGGACACUCACUGUAGGGGAGAAACCUUUCACACUCACCCCGAGCAGGUUAUAGUUUGCAAAAUGGCGAAUUCCACUCAUUUUCAGUUGUCUCUUGUCUGGUACCGUGUGAUGAACUAUCUCAGCGUGAUGGAGCAUUUGAUGAAAUUCCUGUUGUUGUCACCGUUUCUCAUUUUCAGUAUGUUUUGAAAAUUGGGGAUGGAAUUACUGUGAUUGGCAUCACGGGCUUCAUGGCUUUGGAAGUGCUGCCUCCUUGAGGAUUCUCGGCGACAUAUUUAUCGAGGUCUACCACACAGUGUCUGAUUCUGGCAAUCUCCAGCUGCGUUUUGCUGAAGCUGCUGAGCAAGCCUCUCGUGUCCAGAAUCAUGUGCUUGAAAUCUUGUUCAGCACCUUGUUUGGUUGAGGAUUGUAGAGAUUAUUCUACCAUGUCAUCCCUAAUUAAGACAAAUUUAAAAUCAUGAGAUGGUUUGACUGUACUCAUGCUUUUGUAAUGUUUACAGAGUGUAAUUAUAGGUAUGUGGUUUUAAUAGUGCA